UACGAAGGGGGCUAGCGUUGCUCGGAAUCACUGGGCGUAAAGCGCACGUAGGCGGAUUGCUAAGUCAGGGGUGAAAUCCUGGAGCUCAACUCCAGAACUGCCUUUGAUACUGGCGAUCUUGAGUCCGGGAGAGGUGAGUGGAACUGCGAGUGUAGAGGUGAAAUUCGUAGAUAUUCGCAAGAACACCGGUGGCGAAGGCGGCUCUCUGGACCGACACUGACGCUGAGGCGCGAAAGCGUGGGGAGCAAACAGG
rnacentral:rRNA from 1 species